rnacentral:rRNA from 1 species
AACGAACGCUGGCGGCAGGCUUAACACAUGCAAGUCGAACGCUCGUAGCAAUACGGGAGUGGCGGACGGGUGAGUAACGCGUGGGAACGUGCCCUGAGGUACGGAAUAACUGCGGGAAACUGCAGCUAAUACCGUAUGAGCCCCGUGAAGGGGAAAGAUUUAUCGCCUUAGGAGCGGCCCGCGUCGGAUUAGCUAGUUGGUGGGGUAACGGCUUACCAAGGCUUCGAUCCGUAGCUGGUCUGAGAGGACGAUCAGCCACACUGGGACUGAGACACGGCCCAGACUCCUACGGGAGGCAGCAGUGGGGAAUCUUGCGCAAUGGGGGCAACCCUGACGCAGCCAUGCCGCGUGAAUGAUGAAGGCCUUAGGGUUGUAAAGUUCUUUUGCCCGUGACGAUGAUGACGGUAACGGGAGAAUAAGCUCCGGCUAACUUCGUG